UACGUAGGUGGCGAGCGUUGUCCGGAUUUACUGGGCGUAAAGAGCGCGCAGGCGGUCGUUCAAGUCGCGUGUGAAAGCCCUCGGCUCAACCGAGGAAGUGCGCGCGAAACUGCAGUGCUUGAGUACCGGAGAGGGUGGCGGAAUACCCCAAGUAGAGGUGAAAUUCGUAGAUAUGGGGUGGAACACCGGUGGCGAAGGCGGCCACCUGGACGGAUACUGACGCUGAGACGCGAAAGCGUGGGUAGCAAACAGG
rnacentral:rRNA from 1 species